ACUUGUGGUUAACACGCUGCCACCUCCUCUUUCUUUGGAUGGUUGAGACAUAUAACCCAGAGCGUGUUAUGCGGCAGUUUGGGCUCUAUCAGGUUGUUCCACCACCAUUACCGAGGCGACUUGACGAUCUAGUUCACACGCAAGAUAAUAAAGGUUUGAAUUGUGCCGACUGGAGCAGUCGUAAUAGACAGUGGAUAGAGCUGUGGAUUAAUAAUGCGGCAUCCGAUGUAGUGCAAGAACAUAGACCAUAUAGUGACGCCACAUACGACCACUACAAUCAUUGGUAUCGCAGUAUCACAAGGAUUUUGCUCACCGGUCCUCCACCAGAUUACACACAUGCCGAUCAGCUGGUUGUAGGGACUGAACGAACAGC